AUUGAACGCUGGCGGCAUGCUUUACACAUGCAAGUCGAACGGUAACAGGCCGCAAGGUGCUGACGAGUGGCGAACGGGUGAGUAAUGCAUCGGAACGUGCCCAGUCGUGGGGGAUAACUACUCGAAAGAGUAGCUAAUACCGCAUACGAUCUAUAGAUGAAAGCGGGGGACCGUAAGGCCUCGCGCGAUUGGAGCGGCCGAUGUCAGAUUAGGUAGUUGGUGGGGUAAAGGCUCACCAAGCCAACGAUCUGUAGCUGGUCUGAGAGGACGACCAGCCACACUGGGACUGAGACACGGCCCAGACUCCUACGGGAGGCAGCAGUGGGGAAUUUUGGACAAUGGGCGCAAGCCUGAUCCAGCAAUGCCGCGUGCAGGAAGAAGGCCUUCGGGUUGUAAACUGCUUUUGUACGGAACGAAACGGCUCUGGUUAAUACCCGGGGCUAAUGACGGUACCGUAAGAAUAAGCACCGGCCAACUACGUG
rnacentral:rRNA from 1 species